AUUGAACGCUGGCGGCAGGCCUAACACAUGCAAGUCGAGCGGAUGAAGGGAGCUUGCUCCUGGAUUCAGCGGCGGACGGGUGAGUAAUGCCUAGGAAUCUGCCUGGUAGUGGGGGAUAACGUCCGGAAACGGGCGCUAAUACCGCAUACGUCCUGAGGGAGAAAGUGGGGGAUCUUCGGACCUCACGCUAUCAGAUGAGCCUAGGUCGGAUUAGCUAGUUGGUGGGGUAAAGGCCUACCAAGGCGACGAUCCGUAACUGGUCUGAGAGGAUGAUCAGUCACACUGGAACUGAGACACGGUCCAGACUCCUACGGGAGGCAGCAGUGGGGAAUAUUGGACAAAGGGCGAAAGCCUGAUCCAGCCAUGCCGCGUGUGUGACGAAGGUCUUCGGAUUGUAAAGCACUUUAAGUUGGGAGGAAGGGCAGUAAGUUAAUACCUUGCUGUUUUGACGUUACCAACAGAAUAAGCACCGGCUAACUUCGUG
rnacentral:rRNA from 1 species